GAUGAACGCUGGCGGCGUGCCUAAUACAUGCAAGUCGAGCGAACAGAUGAGGAGCUUGCUCCUCUGACGUUAGCGGCGGACGGGUGAGUAACACGUGGAUAACCUACCUAUAAGACUGGGAUAACUUCGGGAAACCGGAGCUAAUACCGGAUAAUAUAUUGAACCGCAUGGUUCAAUAGUGAAAGACGGUUUUGCUGUCACUUAUAGAUGGAUCCGCGCCGCAUUAGCUAGUUGGUAAGGUAACGGCUUACCAAGGCAACGAUGCGUAGCCGACCUGAGAGGGUGAUCGGCCACACUGGAACUGAGACACGGUCCAGACUCCUACGGGAGGCAGCAGUAGGGAAUCUUCCGCAAUGGGCGAAAGCCUGACGGAGCAACGCCGCGUGAGUGAUGAAGGUCUUCGGAUCGUAAAACUCUGUUAUUAGGGAAGAACAAAUGUGUAAGUAACUAGGCACGUCUUGACGGUACCUAAUCAGAAAGCCACGGCUAACUACGUG
rnacentral:rRNA from 1 species